rnacentral:tRNA from 1 species
GCGCUAGUAGCUCAGGGGAUAGAGCAACUGCCUUCUAAGCAGUGGGUCGGGGGUUCGAUUCCCUCCUGGCGUGCCA